rnacentral:lncRNA from 1 species
GACGCGGUUGGAUGUUCUUUGCGAGGCUGCUGAGUCAGAAGCCCGGACGGGCCAGCUGCAGUCUUAAUGAACUGACUCAGGAAGGAAGUGCUUACAGAGAUGGUGUACCGUGCAGUCAGUGGGUGGGAGCAAAUGUCGGCUAGAAGACCUGAGCCUUGGGAAGGGGCGGCCUGAUUCCCGGGGAAGAGCAUUGGCUGGAAGUCUGGAGGCCUGGGCUGGUCUCUGCUCUGCCACUAACUUGCUGCAUGACUUUGAGCCAGAAAAAGAGGGAUCACUCACCCAUUCUCCGUCAGAUACUAAGCUGCUGACUGCCUCAAGGACGAACUUCUCUCCCUUGGCUUUCCAGGCUUGGCCAGAUAGGUAGAGAGAACAUGGACGAACAUUUACCGUGUCAGGCAUGGAGCAGAUUGCCUUAUAUAGUUUUCUCAUCUAAUUCCCAGGACCACCCUCUGAAGCAGGAACUAUUGUUACCGCUGCUUUAUAGACAAAGCGACCUAAGGAACCAAAAGAGAGAGAGAGAGCACGAGGCAGGGAGAGGAGCAGAGGGAGACAGAGAGAAUCUUAAGCAGGCUCCAUGCUCCGGGCAGAGCCCGAUGCAGGGCUCAAUCCCACGAUGCUGGGAUCACGAUCUGAGCUGAAAUCAAGAGUCAGACGCUCAACUGACUGAGCCACCCAGGCGCCCUGGCACUAUCGUCUCUAUCCUUGUCUCCCCAGCAUCCAGUUCAGCACCUGGCCCGCAGCAGAUACUCAGUGAAUGUUGAUUUGAGCAAAUGAACUGAUAGAAAGAAAUGUCUCCUGUAAUUGCUUCUUACCAAUCUAGCCAACAACGGCAGCAUUGUGGAUGGAGGCACCAGAGAACACAUCAUCUCUGGCUUUUUGCUGCAGAUCUACAUGGAGAAUCACACAUGGGGCGACAAAGAUUCUCAAGGCCAGGUAGGGCUUUGCAUUGGAAGCUUGAAAAUGCAAUGUCUGGCUUUGAAGAAGAUGUAUACCGCAAAUAAUUUGCUAUGCGUUGAUAACGGAAAUUUUCAUUUUCCAUUGGCUAAUAGAAAAUAAACAAUGACUUUUAAAUUAUCUUCCUUUUAGU